GUAGGUGAACCUGCGGAAGGAUCAUUAACACUGUUAAGAAGGGAUUAAGAAUCCCUUUUAUCUUAUACACCCCUUUCUAUGAAUGAACGAUCAUUUCCCUUCUUUAUUCCAACCUUUUUUUACCCCAAUCUACCAAAACAUGCGAUAGACUGAAAUCAUUUUUUUUGAAAAAACAAAAAAACAACUCUUAGCAACGGAUAUCUUGACUCUC
rnacentral:misc_RNA from 1 species